GACAGAGGGACCUAGCGUUGUUCGGAAUGACUGGGCGUAAAGGGUGCGUAGGCGGCCAUUUAAGUAAGAUGUUAAAGCCCCAGGCUCAACCUGGGAAUCGCAUUUUAAACUGAGUGGCUAGAGUAUGAGAGAGGAGAGUGGAAUUCCUAGUGUAGAGGUGAAAUUCGUAGAUAUUAGGAGGAAUACCAGAGGCGAAGGCGGCUCUCUGGAUCAUAACUGACGCUGAGGCACGAAAGCGUGGGGAGCAAACAGG
rnacentral:misc_RNA from 1 species